rnacentral:rRNA from 1 species
GUGGAUUAGAUACCCGGGUAGUCCAUGCUGUAAACGAUGAGAACUGGGUGUUGUGGGUAUUGACCCCCGCGGUGCCGAAGCCAACGCGUUAAGUUCUCCGCCUGGGAAGUACGGCCGCAAGGCUAAAACUCAAAGGAAUUGACGGGGGCCCGCACAAGCGGUGGAGCAUGUGGUUUAAUUCGACGCAACGCGAAGAACCUUACCCGGGCUCGAAAGUGCUGGAACCUUUCCGAAAGGGAGGGGUGCUCGCAAGAGAGCCAGUAUCCAGGUGCUGCACGGCCGUCGUCAACU